UACGUAGGGUCCGAGCGUUGUCCGGAAUACUGGGCGUAAAGAGCUCGUAGGUGGUUGUCGCGUUGUUCGUGAAACUCACAGGCUCAACUGUGGGCGUGCGGGCGAUACGGGCAGACUGGAGUACUGCAGGGGAGGACUGGAAUUCCUGGUGUAGCGGUGGAAUGCGCAGAUAUCAGGAGGAACACCGGUGGCGAAGGCGGGGUCUCUGGG
rnacentral:rRNA from 1 species